rnacentral:lncRNA from 1 species
UUCGACAUAUUAGGUAGAUUUUUCAUAUUUGAGCUUGAAUCGGAUCGUUUUUAAUGACUAAAUCUGUUAAAAUCUUUCACAUAAACUAAUUAAUUCAAAUAAAAUAGACACUUUUAAAAGUGUUUAAAAAGUGGUCAAAAUCUUUCGUCAGAUGAACCUGAAAUUUGAGGCCAAAAUCGGUCCUUACCGGACCUACUCCUUUAAGGAAGUAAUGAAUACGACAAAACAAUCAUAUUUAAGCUAUGUACAUUUAUAAGGCAUAUUAAUUCAUGUGUGUGUUCUCCUGG